AGGAAUCAACAGAGAAAGAGAUGGAGGCCAUGCUGGAGGUAGAGGUAGAGGAAGAGGAAGACAAGAAGUUGCUCAAAGAGGACCGAGUCUGACAAAUGAGAUUCGCACAACAUUGGUUGACCACGUUGUCAACCUCGGCCUGAUGCUGAGGGAGGCUGGACUGCGAGUACAGCCAAAUCUAAGCCAAUACACAGUGGCAAGUGUGAUAAGAACAUUUCGACUGGAAAAUAGGAUUGAGUUCAUAUACGUAGAUGAGGCUGGGUUCAACCUGACGAGAACACGAAGGAGGGGAAGAAACAUCAUUGGCCACAGGGCUAUAGUCAAUGUCCCAGUGCAAAGUGGGGAUAAUAUAACACUCUGUGCAGCCAUUACACAGAAUGGGGUCCUCCACCGCCAUGCCCAUAUGGGCCCUUACAACACAGCACUCAUACUUACAUUCUUGGACCAACUGCACAAGAUAACAGCAGCAAAUCAAAUCGAUCAUAUGCAAUACAUUGUUGUCUGGGACAAUGUGUCUUAGCACCGCUCUGCUCUGGUUCACAACUGGUUUCAGCAACAUCCACAUUUCACCGUCCUAUAUCUUCCACCAUACUCUCCAUUCCUCAACCCUAUAGAAGAGUUUUUCUCGGCAUGGCGGUGGAAGGUCUAUGAUCUCCGUCUCCAGGCUGAGGUACCCCUCAUCCAAGCCAUGAAGGAGGCCUGUGACCAGAUGGAGGUAGCAGCAAUGCAAGGAUGGAUUCGUCAUUCAUGACAUUUCUUUCCAAGGUGUCUUGCUAAUGACAACAUUGUCUGCGAUGUUGAUGAAAUUCUCUGGCCAGAUCCAGCUAGGCGAAGAGACAAUGUCUAGUUUUGUUUUGUUUUUUUUACAGUAAACUUACAGUACAUGUCAACAUUUUGGGCGUGUUGACAAAUGAGUUUCUUCAGUCUGCAACAUUGGUCUUGGUUAAUUUACAUUAUAUUUGUACUUUAUUGAUGGUAGCCUACUCUAAUCAUAGGGAAGUAGAAGUGCUAAAAGUGUUUUAGGUUUAUCACAGCAGAGUGUAACUCGUGCAAACUGAGUAUAGUAAUGUGAAACAUGAGGUAACAAAGUGUGGUUUUUAAACAGAAGUGUAUAGUUUUUACAAGAGUGUUUAAUUAUGCAAGGGAUCUGUAGUGUUUUGCUAAUUGUGUGUAGUGUUUUGAAAACACGGGCCCUGUUUUGAAAAUCGUGCUUAAGCAAUCCAAAAAAACUGUAAGAUAUGACACUACCCUGUUUUUUUUUUUUUUUUUUGCAUAAUUGUGAUAACACUGACCGCGUUAUGAAAAACAAAGAAAUGGUCUAAUAAAAUAAAAAUGAAUUAGGUGUUUACUGCUAGUGUGAUAAAACACUUUAUAAAUCAAUAUGAAAGGGCCUAAGGCUGAACCAUGGGGUACAUCACAGCAGACUAGAACUUAAGCUAUAUAAUAAAAUAAUUUUUUUUCA